rnacentral:rRNA from 1 species
AUUGAACGCUGGCGGCAGGCCUAACACAUGCAAGUCGGGCGCGCGGCGGACGGGUGUGUAAUGUAUGGGGAUUUGCCUGAUGGAGGGGGAUAACUACUGGAAACGGUAGUUAAUACCGCAUACCUGCACAUGAUCCAUUAUGGGACUAGCCAUUAGGUAAGGUAACGGCUUACCUAGGCGACGAUCCCUAGCUGGUCUGAGAGGAUGAUCAGCCACACUGGGACUGAGACACGGCCCAGACUCCUACGGGAGGCAGCAGUGGGGAAUAUUGCACAAUGGGCGCAAGCCUGAUGCAGCCAUGCCGCGUGUAUGAAGAAGGCCUUCGGGUUGUAAAGUACUUUCAGUCGGGAGGCGUUACCGACAGAAGAAGCACCGGCUAACUCCGUGCCAGCAGCCGCGGUAAUAC